rnacentral:rRNA from 1 species
UGGGGAAUAUUGCACAAUGGGCGCAAGCCUGAUGCAGCCAUGCCGCGUGUGUGAAGAAGGCCUUCGGGUUGUAAAGCACUUUCAGCGGGGAGGAAGGCGAUAAGUUUAAUAACCUUGUCGAUUGACGUUACCCGCAGAAGAAGCACCGGCUAACUCCGUGCCAGCAGCCGCGGUAAUACGGAGGGUGCAAGCGUUAAUCGGAAUUACUGGGCGUAAAGCGCACGCAGGCGGUUUGUUAAGUCAGAUGUGAAAUCCCCGGGCUCAACCUGGGAACUGCAUCUGAUACUGGCAAGCUUGAGUCUCGUAGAGGGGGGUAGAAUUCCAGGUGUGGCGGUGAAAUGCGUAGAGAUCUGGAGGAAUACCGGGGGCGAAGGCGGCCCCCUGGACGAAGACUGACGCUAAGGUGCGAAAGCGUGGGGAGCAAACAGG